CACAUAAUUGUAAUCAUAUUGAAGAUGCUGGUGUACAUUGUUCAGACUAUGAUGAAAGAUCCUAGUGAUGGGGAAUCAUGUCAAAGAAAUACACUAGAAACCUAAUUCUAAUCGAAGAUGCUUUUCGUAAAAUAUGUCGUGGAAAAUUUGAAAGCUUAUGUAGAAAAUGCUGUGUGUUUGACAUUUUAUCCACUGUUGAAAUGUAUCUGUAAUACAAAACUACGUGUAAACAAGUUGUAAUCAACCAUAUUAUCAUAUAAAGUAAAUGUACAUAUUAUCAUAAUCUAU